CAAUAGCGUAUAUUAAAGUUGUUGCAGUUAAAAAGCUCGUAGUUGGAUUUCUGGUAGGAGUGACCGUUCCGAACUUGAUUGUUCGUGUAUUGUGUUUUCUCUAGCCAUCCUUGUGGAGAACUUUUCUUGCAUUAAUUUGUAGGGAUUGGGACCCGCAUCGUUUACUGUGAAAAAAUUAGAGUGUUUAAAGCAGGCAAUCGCUUGAAUACAUUAGCAUGGAAUAAUAAGAUAGGACUUUGGUACUAUUUUGUUGGUUUGCAUACCAAAUUAAUGAUCAACAGGAACAGUUUGAGGAUAUUCGUAUGAACAUGUCAGAGGUGAAAUUCUUGGAUUUUGAUCAGACGAACUACUGCGAAAGCAUUUAUCAAGGAUGUUUUCAUUAA
rnacentral:rRNA from 1 species